GGUGUGUGAUUGUUGGAAGAGGAUUUUACUGUUGUCAUUAUGUGUAAUGUACUAGGUGAAUUUCCUUUGACAUACUCCCUGUGGUCACUGCAUAUGAUUCUGUUACACUGGAUUUUCUAUGUAAGCUUGUCUGAACUGGGGAAGGGAAAGAAAAAUGAAGGAGGGUGUAACAAAUAUGACAAGAAAUGUACUCACUACCUUAUUAUGUAACUAUACCCUCUCUGUACA